ensembl:snRNA U6 U6 spliceosomal RNA
GUGCUUGUGUCAGCUGCACAUGUAUUAAAAUUGGAACUAUACAGAGAAGAUUAGUGUGGCCCUUGCACAAUGAUGACAUGCAAAUUUGUGAAGUGUUCCAUAUUUUG